UUGGUGAACAUGUAUGUUUGUAUGUGUAGACAUGUGAGCUUGAUACAGGCAUAUGCAUGGAUGGAAGUGUAUAGAGAGGCUUGCAAAUAUUUUUUUACAUAGGCGAAAUAGGCAUACGUGCUCAGAUAGAUGGAUGAGACAGCUGUGAUAGCAUGUGUAGGCAGGUUGGACAGGGACAUACUUACAAUCCAUUGACACCGGCAUAUGGCCCGGCAUACGGACAAGGAACACUUGUAAACACGGGUUACCCUGUCUGUUACCCCUCAGUACAAUAUUACCCCGACCCCUUUGUUACCCCUUGGUAAGGGGCUACCCCUACCCCUUUGUUACCCCUUGGUAAGGGGUUACCCCUACCCCGGGGUUAGGUUACCCACCCCCCUUCGUACAUAGCCACAUGGGUAACCACUUACCCCUACCCUUACCCCUACCCCUAACCCCUGGGUUAUGCUUAAGGGGGGGUUACCCCUCGUUUUAUGCCAUAGGGCAAACAAACACAAGGAGGUUCUGCUUGCAAGUCGCGUCCCAUAGCAAACCAAACUCAAACACAAGGAAGUUCUGCUUGCAAGUUGCGUCCCAUAGCAAACCAAACUCAAACACAAGGAAGUUCUGCUUGCAAGUCGCGUCCCAUAGCAAACCAAACUCAAACACAAGGAAGUCCUGCUUGCAAGUCGCGUCCCAUAGCAAACCAAAUUCAAACACAAGGAAGUCCUGCAUAUAAGGCGCGUCCCAUAGCAAAACAAACUCAAACACAAGGAAGUUCUGCUUGCAAGUCGCGUCCCAUAGCAAACCAAACUCAAACACAAGGAAGUCCUGCAUAUNNNNNNNNNNNNNNNNNNNNNNNNNNNNNNNNNNNNNNNNNNNNNNNNNNCCCGUGCCGUAUUAUUGUCCCUAAUAAGAUUAUUCAUUCGCAUUCAUACAGUUCGAAGUGGAUUGGGGAACGCAACUCUUGAUAUGAUGACGUUGGUGUAAUUAGCGAGUUUAUACACACCCCGAGCCUGGGGCCAUGGGCGGGCUCUUCAGCCCUGCAAGGCUUGUGUUGGUGAGGCAAUCUUUACAAUUGUACACUCGAAGUGUUUGGUGAACAUGUAUGUUUGUAUGUGUAGACAUGUGAGCUUGAUACAGGCAUAUGCAUGGAUGGAAGUGUAUAGAGAGGCUUGCAAAUAUUUUUUUACAUAGGCGAAAUAGGCAUACGUGCUCAGAUAGAUGGAUGAGACAGCUGUGAUAGCAUGUGUAGGCAGGUUGGACAGGGACAUACUUACAAUCCAUUGACACCGGCAUAUGGCCCGGCAUACGGACAAGGAACACUUGUAAACACGGGUUACCCUGUCUGUUACCCCUCAGUACAAUAUUACCCCGACCCCUUUGUUACCCCUUGGUAAGGGGCUACCCCUACCCCUUUGUUACCCCUUGGUAAGGGGUUACCCCUACCCCGGGGUUAGGUUACCCACCCCCCUUCGUACAUAGCCACAUGGGUAACCACUUACCCCUACCCUUACCCCUACCCCUAACCCCUGGGUUAUGCUUAAGGGGGGGUUACCCCUCGUUUUAUGCCAUAGGGCAAACAAACACAAGGAGGUUCUGCUUGCAAGUCGCGUCCCAUAGCAAACCAAACUCAAACACAAGGAAGUUCUGCUUGCAAGUUGCGUCCCAUAGCAAACCAAACUCAAACACAAGGAAGUUCUGCUUAUAAGUCGCGUCCCAUAGCUAACCAAACUCAAACACAAGGAAGUCCUGCUCCGGCAUCGGCCGACUGCCCGAUGGGGUCCAUCCCAAGCGUUUCCAUGAUGACUUCGGCCAUGUCCCUGGCGAAGCCCAACCCCGUCAAUUUUGCCAGCUUUUGACGCUUCUGCAGAAGGUUAACACCAUUGGGAAUAGAACAGGCAUGGAACGCGACUUGGUGUAAAUGUGAGAAACGUGCACCAUUGGUGCCAGUUCUUCAGUCAGACGCAGUCCAACCCCGUUCUUACCUUGUCCGGCCCAUGCACAUCCACACCAAGGGCACCAUCGGAUGCCAUUCUGGAAGAGAUAACAAACGGUCGUCGGGCUGUUAAUAGCUUGCGCUUAAGAAGGUGGGCGUCUUCCAAGACGAAGUUUGGGACACUUUGAAUAAGACCCGAACGUAAUCUGUAUGCAAUCUGCAGACCCUACUGGGGGACAAGUCCGCAGGAGGCGUAUCAACAUGCAAGACGUUAUCAACAGCAAGCCGGUUUGGGGGUCCAAGUACAGCCUGUCACGCUGACUAGUUGGACAAGGCUGUAUGCUCUUCUG
rnacentral:lncRNA from 1 species